UACAGAGGGUGCGAGCGUUGUCCGGAAUCACUGGGCGUAAAGGGCGCGUAGGCGGUCUCUUAAGCGUGUGGUGAAAGCCCGGGGCUCAACUCCGGGUCGGCCGUGCGAACUGGGGGACUGGAGCUUGUCAGAGGCAGGCGGAAUUCCUGGUGUAGCGGUGAAAUGCGCAGAUAUCAGGAGGAACACCGAUGGCGAAGGCAGCUCGCUGGGACGUGACUGACGCUGAGACGCGAAAGCGUGGGGAGCAAACAGG
rnacentral:rRNA from 1 species